rnacentral:rRNA from 1 species
AACGUAGGAGACAAACGUUAUCCGGAGUUACUGGGCGUAAAGAGCGCGUAGGCGGAAAUUUAAGCGUGGCCUGAAAGCCCCCGGCUCAACCGGGGAGUGCGGCUGCGAACUGGGUUUCUUGAGGACGAUAGAGGAGAGUGGAAUUCCUGGUGUAGCGGUGAAAUGCGUAGAUAUCAGGAGGAACACCCGAGGCGAAGGCGGCUCUCUGGGUCGUACCUGACGCUGAGGCGCGAAAGCGUGGGGAGCGAACGGG